GUCGAGCGAACGGACGAGAAGCUUGCUUCUCUGAUGUUAGCGGCGGACGGGUGAGUAACACGUGGAUAACCUACCUAUAAGACUGGGAUAACUUCGGGAAACCGGAGCUAAUACCGGAUAAUAUUUUGAACCGCAUGGUUCAAAAGUGAAAGACGGUCUUGCUGUCACUUAUAGAUGGAUCCGCGCUGCAUUAGCUAGUUGGUAAGGUAACGGCUUACCAAGGCAACGAUGCAUAGCCGACCUGAGAGGGUGAUCGGCCACACUGGAACUGAGACACGGUCCAGACUCCUACGGGAGGCAGCAGUAGGGAAUCUUCCGCAAUGGGCGAAAGCCUGACGGAGCAACGCCGCGUGAGUGAUGAAGGUCUUCGGAUCGUAAAACUCCGUUAUUAGGGAAGAACAUAUAUGUAAGUAACUGUGCACAUCUUGACGGUACCUAAUCAGAAAGCCACGGCUAACUACGUGCCAGCAGCCGCGGUAAUACGUAGGUGGCAAGCGUUAUCCGGAAUUAUUGGGCGUAAAGCGCGCGUAGGCGGUUUUUUAAGUCUGAUGUGAAAGCCCACGGCUCAACCAUGGAGGGUCAUUGGAAACUGGAAAACUUGAGUGCAGAAGAGGAAAGUGGAAUUCCAUGUGUAGCGGUGAAAUGCGCAGAGAUAUGGAGGAACACCAGUGGCGAAG
rnacentral:rRNA from 1 species